rnacentral:rRNA from 1 species
AUACAGAGGGUGCGAGCGUUAAUCGGAAUUACUGGGCGUAAAGCGCGCGUAGGCGGCUUAUUAAGUCAGAUGUGAAAUCCCCGGGCUCAACCUGGGAACUGCAUCUGAUACUGGUAAGCUAGAGUCUUGGAGAGGGAAGUAGAAUUUCAGGUGUAGCGGUGAAAUGCAUAGAGAUCUGAAGGAAUACCAGUGGCGAAGGCGACUUCCUGGCCAAAAACUGACGCUGAGGUGCGAAAGCGUGGGUAGCAAACGGGAUUAGAAACCCCAGUAGUCC